AACGCACCUUGCGCUCCUUGGUAUUCCGAGGAGCAUGCCUGUUUGAGUGUCAUUAAAUUCUCAACUCCCUGAUUGAUUUCUCGGAGCUUGGACUUGGAGUGUGCUGGCGAAGGUCGGCUCCUCUGAAAUGCAACAGCGGAAUUCAAUCUUUUGGCUUCUGGAUGUCAGUGUGAUAAUGAUGUUGCGCUGUCGUCCGAGGCUCAAAGGUCCGCUUACAAUGGUCUUUAGACAACUUUAUAUCAAAUUUGACCUCAAAUCAGGUAGGACUACCCGCUGAACUUAA
rnacentral:misc_RNA from 2 species